AACGAACGCUGGCGGCAGGCUUAACACAUGCAAGUCGAACGCAUCGCAAGAUGAGUGGCAGACGGGUGAGUAACGCGUGGGAACAUACCCUUUUCUACGGAAUAGCUCUGGGAAACUGGAAUUAAUACCGUAUACGCCCUACGGGGGAAAGAUUUAUCGGGGAAGGAUUGGCCCGCGUUGGAUUAGCUAGUUGGUGGGGUAAAGGCCUACCAAGGCGACGAUCCAUAGCUGGUCUGAGAGGAUGAUCAGCCACAUUGGGACUGAGACACGGCCCAAACUCCUACGGGGGGCAGCAGUGGGGAAUAUUGGACAAUGGGCGCAAGCCUGAUCCAGCCAUGCCGCGUGAGUGAUGAAGGCCUUAGGGUUGUAAAGCUCUUUCACCGAUGAAGAUAAUGACGGUAGUCGGAGAAGAAGCCCCGGCUAACUUCGUGCCAGCCGCCGCAGUAACAC
rnacentral:rRNA from 1 species